CAAUAGCUACUUGCAUCAUACUAGAGAUGAUGCAAGAUCGACUAUGUCGAAUAAAAUUCUAGGUAGAAUUAUGAUAAUGACAUUGUCUGCCUAUGUGUCUUGACCAAAUUACGUGCCAGCAGUCGCGGUAAUACGUAGAAGACUAGUGUUAUUCAUGUUUAAUCGGUUUAAAGGGUACCUAGACGGUAAAUCAAGCCUAAAACUAAAAAAAAUAAAUGAAGGGACUAAUUUACUAGAGUUACUUAUGAGGGGGUAUUAAAGUACUGCUGGUGUAGAGAUGAAAUUCUGUCAUACCUCUUUUCAAUAGAAAAACAAUGGCACAGGUAUAGGCGAAGGCAUCCCCUUAUGUGAUAACUGACGUUGAGGGACGAAGGCUUUGUGUAGCGAACAGGAUUAGAUACCCCAGUAGUCAAAGCAGAAAAUGAUGAAUGUCAUAGAUUAGAUAUAUAAGUUUAUUCUAUAAAUGAAAGUGUAAGCAUUCCACCUCAAGAGUAAUUUGGCAACAUUGGAACUGAAAUCAUUAGACCGUUUCUGAAACCAGUAGUGAAGUAUGUUGUUUAAUUUGAUGAUCCGCAAAAAACCUUACCACAAUUUGAAUAUUUAUAUCUUUUAUUGUUUUUUCUUCUUAUUAUUCAAUUAUUGAAGAAUAAGAAAAAUAGGCAAUAAG
rnacentral:rRNA from 1 species